GAUAGUGUUAACUUGUAGUGAUGAAAGAGUGUAAGUGUGAAAGAAUGAGAUUGAUAUUACCAUUGUGCGUUUUCCAAAGAUUCUUCACUACACAAAAGCCUUAGACCUACCACAAGAAGUGCAUUUGGGAUAAUGGAAAGAGAAGUUUUUGCGUUUGUGAGAAUGGGAAAGUUUGAAGGAAUGAUGGCAGAGUUUGCAAAGG
rnacentral:rRNA from 1 species